rnacentral:rRNA from 1 species
UACGGGGGGGGCAAGCGUUGUUCGGAAUUACUGGGCGUAAAGGGCUCGUAGGCGGCCAACUAAGUCAGAUGUGUAAUCCCCAGGCUUAACCUGGGAACUGCAUCUGAUACUGGAUGGCUUGAAUCCGGGAGAGGGAUGCAGAAUUCCAGGUGUAGCGGUGAAAUGCGUAGAUAUCUGGAGGAACACCGGUGGCGAAGGCGGCAUCCUGGACCAAUAUUGACGCUGAGGAGCGAAAGCCAGGGGAGCAAACGGG